rnacentral:lncRNA from 1 species
UAGGGAGUCGGGCUCUACAGGCAGCAACUAUCAGAGCCCCCAGCUUCAGAGUUACGGACAGAUUAAAAGGGAAAAAAAAAGGCAAAAACUUUGGCAUUGAUUACUUUUAACCUCCCGUAUCUAGAAACUUGAGCAACUGUGCCACUUCUGGAAAAACAACCUCGCGGCCAACUUUUGUCCCAGCAGCUUCUCCCUCCGCCCCCAGGCCCCCGGAUCACACUGUUUCCCCACAGUCACAGAUCCUCCUCAGCAGGGCUCCUCUGCUACCUGGGCUGUCUGUCAGCGGCACCAAAAGCCCGUAAAGCAGAGGCGUGUGGGUGCACGGGGAAAAAGGAUACACGGGUUUCAGAUGGGAGACAGCGAGCAGCAUUAUCGGAUAAUUCUGUACGUGAAGCACCUGCCCAAAGCUGUUCUCUCCAUAGGAACUCAGAACAGCGGGAAAAGCCUGCUCGAUACCCAGCUAGCAGCACAUGCUCUACGUUUUUCCUUUUUAAAGGGGAAACUAAAGCCCGCUGUGUGUAGAGGCUGCAGAGCUAAGCUCAACGGAGAAGGCCGCUCGUGUUAGUGAGGAGCCCUUCAGCUUUCCAUUCCUUAUAUGUGCAAAGUGUGCAAGCCCGCACACACAGCUCUCUACUCACCCAGAGGUACAUCAUGUUAGCCUGGGUCGCUCGAACCCAGCAGUGAGAUGAUCCGGGAACGCGGGAGGCACUUCAGGAAAAAGCUGCCGAGACUGAG